UGAACGCUGGCGGCGUGCCUACCACAUGCAAGUCGAGCGGCAGCGAGGGGUGCUUGCACCCUGUCGGCGAGCGGCGGACGGCUGAGUAACGCGUGGGAACGUGCCCCAAAGUGAGGAAUAACUGCCCGAAAGGGUAGCUAAUACCGCAUAUUAUCUUCGGAUCAAAGGAUUUAUCCGCUUUGGGAGCGGCUCGCGUCGGAUUAGGUAGUUGGUGAGGUAAUGGCUCACCAAGCCGACGAUCCGUAGCUGGUCUGAGAGGAUGACCAGCCAGACUGGAACUGAGACACGGUCCAGACUCCUACGGGAGGCAGCAGUGAGGAAUCUUCCACAAUGGGCGAAAGCCCGAUGGAGCAACGCCGCGUGCAGGACGAAGGCCUUCGGGUUGUAAACUGCUUUUAUAAGUGAGGAAUAUGACGGUAACUUAUGAAUAAGGAUCGGCUAACUACGUG
rnacentral:rRNA from 1 species